rnacentral:snoRNA from 1 species
AAUCCAUGGUUAGGGCAAUCACGUUCAUACUCCUUAAAACGUUCCCAAGCUUCAUAGAAAGAUUCAGUUUGCCCUUGUUGAAAGGUUGAGAUCUUCGUUCUCAAAUU